GACGAACGCUCCCUUUCGUGCUUAACACAUGCAAGUCGAACGGAAAGGCCCUGCUUGCAUGGUACUCGAGUGGCGAACGGGUGAGUAACACGUGGGUGAUCUGCCCUGCACUUCGGGAUAAGCCUGGGAAACUGGGUCUUAUACCGGAUAGGAGCCCUUUUUAGUGCGACGGUUGGAAAGGUUUUUCGGUGUAAGAUGAGCUCCCCCCCUCUCCGCUUGUUGGCGGGGGAAUGGCCUACCCAGGCCGCCACCGGGAGCCCGCCUGAAAGGGAGGGGGGCCCCCUUGGGACUGAAAUACCCCCCAUACCCCUACCGGAGGCGACCAAGGGGAAUUUUGCACCGUGGGCCCCACCCCGAAGGGGGAAACCCCCCUGGGGGAAGACGGCCCUCAGGUUGAAAACUCCUUUUGCUAUGCACGAAGCUUUUUUUUAAGGCACCUUGAUCAACACCGGCGGGGAACCCCCCGCCAUCCUCCGAGGUAAUACGUAGGGGGGCGACCCCCCCCCGGAAUUACUGGGCGUAAAGGGCUCGUAGGUGGUUUGUCGCGUCGUCUGUGAAUUCCGGGGCUUAACUCCGGGCGUGCAGGCGAUACGGGCAUAACUUGAGUACUGUAGGGGUAACUGGAAUUCCUGGUGUAGCGGUGAAAUGCGCAGAUAUCAGGAGGAACACCGAUGGCGAAGGCAGGUUACUGGGCAGUUACUGACGCUGAGGAGCGAAAGCAUGGGUAGCGAACAGGAUUAGAUACCCUGGUAGUCCAUGCCGUAAACGGUGGGCGCUAGGUGUGAGGGUCUUUUCACGACUUUCGUGCCGUAGCUAACGCAUUAAGCGCCCCGCCUGGGGAGUACGGCCGCAAGGCUAAAACUCAAAGGAAUUGACGGGGGCCCGCACAAGCGGCGGAGCAUGUGGAUUAAUUCGAUGCAACGCGAAGAACCUUACCUGGGCUUGACAUACACCGGAUCGGGCUAGAGAUAGUCUUUCCCUUUGUGGCUGGUGUACAGGUGGUGCAUGGUUGUCGUCAGCUCGUGUCGUGAGAUGUUGGGUUAAGUCCCGCAACGAGCGCAACCCUUGUCUUAUGUUGCCAGCAUUUGGUUGGGGACUCAUGAGAGACUGCCGGGGUCAACUCGGAGGAAGGUGGGGAUGACGUCAAAUCAUCAUGCCCCUUAUGUCCAGGGCUUCACACAUGCUACAAUGGUCGGUACAACGCGCAGCGACACUGUGAGGUGGAGCGAAUCGCUGAAAGCCGGCCUUAGUUCGGAUUGGGGUCUGCAACUCGACCCCAUGAAGUCGGAGUCGCUAGUAAUCGCAGAUCAGCAACGCUGCGGUGAAUACGUUCCCGGGCCU
rnacentral:rRNA from 1 species